rnacentral:rRNA from 1 species
AUUGAACGCUGGCGGCAUGCCUUACACAUGCAAGUCGAACGGCAGCGGGGACUUCGGUCCGCCGGCGAGUGGCGAACGGGUGAGUAAUGUAUCGGAACGUACCUUUCAGUGGGGGAUAACGUAGCGAAAGUUACGCUAAUACCGCAUAUUCUCUGAGGAGGAAAGCAGGGGACCUUCGGGCCUUGUGCUGAUGGAGCGGCCGAUAUCAGAUUAGCUAGUUGGUGAGGUAAAGGCUCACCAAGGCGACGAUCUGUAGCGGGUCUGAGAGGAUGAUCCGCCACACUGGGACUGAGACACGGCCCAGACUCCUACGGGAGGCAGCAGUGGGGAAUUUUGGACAAUGGGCGCAAGCCUGAUCCAGCCAUGCCGCGUGAGUGAAGAAGGCCUUCGGGUUGUAAAGCUCUUUCGGACGGGAAGAAAUUGGUGGGGCUAAUAUCCCCAUCGGAUGACGGUACCGUAAUAAGAAGCACCGGCUAACUACGUGCCAGCAGCCGCCGUAAAAC